GAGAGAGAGGUAAUUGUAUUGACAUGAUCUUUACUAAUUUACUAACUGAGAUAUAAACUUAUGUGUUCUAUUCACAGUCUCUUUGUGGUUCUUAGGUGAGGAUGAUUCUUGAAUCACCUAGCUGUUGCCAUGAACAAUAGAAGUAAAAAGACCUGAAGAUGAACUUUAGAUUGCAUUCUCUGCUUUCAGCACUUAAACAUAAAAGAUCCUCCUAGUCACUAUGUCACAACUGAAAGGGGAAUCACAGAAUUGACGAGGUUGGAAGAGACCUCUGAAGAUCAUCUAGUCCAACCCCUCUGCCAGGCAGAAUCACCUAAAGUACAUUGCACAUGAUGGCAUCCAGGGUGCACAAAAAGGUGGGAAAGGACAGAACCAAGACAUCUGACCCGAACUGGCCAGACCAAUAUUCCAUACCAGAUGACACCAUGCUGAACAAUAAAACUGAUUGGAGUUGGCUGGAGGAUGCUGAAGGGAAGGCUGCUGCUUGGGGUCUGGCUAGGCAUCGGUCAGCAGGUGGUGCAAAAUGUUACAUCUAUAUAAGAAGAGUUGAAGUCUGACUGGAGAUCAGGAAUCAGGAAGAGAGGGAUUGCUUUGAACCAAGAGCAAAUGCUGACCUUGUACCCAGAUAACGAUUUACAGGAAGAACCUGUGUGAAUGCCAAGGUCAAAUUUAUCUAACUGUGGAAACAAUGCUGCAGAUGGAUUUCCCCGAGGAAAACAGGUGGAAAAUUUCUUUCCCUUUUUAUGCUCUUCUAGGAGCACAGAAUCUAAGUUAGUCUGGCUGACAUAAGGGCAUAGCUUUUUAGAGUACAGUACUUCCCUGAAGAAAAAGAAAGAAAGAAAGAAAGAAAAGAAAGAAAGAAAGAAAGAAAGAAAGAAAGAAAGAAAGAAAGAAAGAAAGAAAGAAAGAAAGAAAGCAAAGAAAGAAAGAAAGAAAGAAAGAAAGAAAGAAAGAAAGAAAGAAAGAAAGAAAAGUCAGUUCCUUUCAUAGAGUUACCUAAGCUUGUGAAGAGUACUCGUAAGUAAACUAAACGUCGUAACUUUCCCUUUUAAGUACGUAGCAUAUUUGUAAAGGCUUUGUAGCCUCUGACGUAACUAUACAGUAACAUGAAUAUUAAACAUUCAUGAAAAAAGGAACUCCAAACAAAUAACAAAG
rnacentral:lncRNA from 1 species